rnacentral:rRNA from 1 species
UACGGAGGGGGCUAGCGUUGUUCGGAAUUACUGGGCGUAAAGCGCACGUAGGCGGCUUUGUAAGUUAGAGGUGAAAGCCCAGGGCUCAACCCUGGAAUCGCCUUUAAGACUGCAUCGCUUGAACAUCGGAGAGGUAAGUGGAAUUCCGAGUGUAGAGGUGAAAUUCGUAGAUAUUCGGAAGAACACCAGUGGCGAAGGCGACUUACUGGACGAUUGUUGACGCUGAGGUGCGAAAGCGUGGGGAGCGAACAGG